AAGUCGUAACAAGGUUUCCGUAGGUGAACCUGCGGAAGGAUCAUUACCGAGUCUUUGAAGUGGGUUUGAUGCUGGCCUUCCGAGGCAUGUGCUCGCCCCGCUCUCAAUCCCACUCAACACCUGUGCACCCUAUUAUUUUCAAAGGUCGUGGUCCUCCCGUCAAAGGGAGCAGCUCGGGAAACCGAGUCGGGGCCGCUCCCCCUUUGUUAAUAUGUUUUACAAACUCUUAAAUACCUCAGAAUGUAUAACAUGGCCUACGGGCUUUAGAAACUAUAAUACAACUUUCAACAACGGAUCUCUUGGCUCUC
rnacentral:misc_RNA from 1 species